rnacentral:rRNA from 1 species
GACAGAGGGUGCAAACGUUGUUCGGAAUUACUGGGCGUAAAGCGCGUGUAGGCGGCUCUGUAAGUCGGAUGUGAAAAUCCCACGGCUCAACCAUGGAAGUGCAUUCGAAACUACAGGGCUAGAGUUCUGGAGAGGAAGGUGGAAUGCUUGGUGUAGAGGUGAAAUUCGUAGAUAUCAAGCGGAACACCGGUGGCGAAGGCGGCCUUCUGGACAGUAACUGACGCUGAGACGCGAAAGCGUGGGGAGCAAACAGG